rnacentral:rRNA from 1 species
AACGAACGCUGGCGGCGUGGCUAAGACAUGCAAGUCGCGGGGUGAAAAUGAUCUGUAGCAAUACAGUGAAACACGACCGGCGCAAGGGUGAGUAAUGGAUGGGUAACGUGCCCUGGACACGGGGAUAGCCGUCCGAAAGGACGAUUAAUACCCGAUGAUAUCACCGGCUCUCAUGGGCUGGUGAUCAAACGGUGGGGACCGCAAGGCCUGCCGGUCUGGGAUCGGCCCAUUUCCUAUCAGCUAGUUGGUGAGGUAACGGCCCACCAAGGCUUCGACGGGUAGCGGGACUGAGAGGUUGGCCCGCCACAUUGGCACUGAGACACUGGCCAGACUCCUACGGGAGGCUGCAGUAACGGAUCUUCCGCAAUGGGCGCAAGCCUGACGGAGCGACGCCGCGUGCAGGAGGAAGCCCUUCGGGGUGUAAACUGCUGUCAGGGGUAAGCAAGCGACCCGGGUUAACAGCCCGGGAAGUUGAGUUAUCCCAGAGGAAGCCACGGCUAACUCUGUGCCAGCAGCCGCGGUAAUACAGAGGUGGCAAGCGUUGUUCGGAAUCACUGGGCUUAAAGGGCGCGCAGGCGGUCGGCAGGGUGUCUUGUGAAAUCCCUCGGCUUAACCGAGGAACUGCGGGGCAAACCGGCCGACUUGAGGUAGGUAGAGGUUGAUGGAACUCUGGGUGGAGCGGUGAAAUGCGUAGAUAUCCAGGGGAACGCCAAUGGCGAAAGCAGUCGACUGGGCCUGUCCUGACGCUGAGGCGCGAAAGCCAGGGGAGCAAACGGGAUUAGAUACCCCGGUAGUCCUGGCCCUAAACGAUGUCUACUGGGUUUGAGAAUCUCUGACGGUUCUCGGGCCGCAACAAAAGUGUUAAGUAGACCGCCUGGGGAGUACGGCCGCAAGGCUAA